rnacentral:tRNA from 1 species
GCCGUUGUAGCUUAGAGGCAGAGCACUUUCUUGGUAAGAAAGAGGUCACGGGUUCAAUUCCCGUCAAUGGCU